UGGGCUGACUGCUGGUGGGGAAGGAGGUGUGUUGCUAGCUUCUGAGGGAGGAUUGCCUGCAUACCAAGACCAGACAGUCAGAGAUGGACCCUGACACACCAGCUUGGGACAUCAUGGAGACUGGAGAACCCCAGAGGCUUGGAUAGGAAGUGAUGCAGGGAAGUUUUGUGGGGAAAUGGUUACAGAACUGGACCAAGGCUUGGAGACUGCUAAACAAACAGGACAGCAACUCUUACCAAGUUUUUCUUCAUCAAAACAUUUGUAUCAGCUCCCUGGAGAAAGCUAUGAGAGAGAAGUGACAAACUGAUAUCUGAGCAAACCUCAUAAUGAAAAAGCCAGAGUGACCUUUUGCAGAUGCUACUUUUCAGCUAGACAACAUCUUGAAGAAACCCAUCUGUCCAUUUAUGUCAACAAGACUUAUUGUUUUGCAUCAUUGUAAAGGAAUAAAUCUCAUGUCAUAUUGUAUCUGGGUACUGACACUCAUUUAUAAAAUAGGGUUGGUUUUUUAAUAGGACUCUGCAAAUUUUUUCAUUGACUUUUAUAUUAUCACUUGAUUUUUUUAAAUUUUUUUCAAUUAAAAGACAUGGGUUAAACAAAGCAUUGCCUAUUCCUCUUGACUGACAUCUUCCGUUGGCUACUGUAUCACAAUCAGCAGAAAUGGAGUCAGAGGGCCCAUAUUCCCUGGAGGGACUAUUACUGAGGGGACACCAGUGGAAAAGGAAACAUGGGGAGUUAGG